rnacentral:tRNA from 1 species
GCAGUGGCGAUUCAGUGGUAGAAUUCUUGUUCUUCCAUGCAGGAGAGCUGGGUUCGAUUCCCAGCCAACACA